rnacentral:rRNA from 1 species
UCGAGGGGUAUAGUCUUUCGGGAUUAGAGACCGGCGCACGGGUGCGUAACGCGUAUGCAAUCUGCCUUACACUAAGGGAUAGCCCAGAGAAAUUUGGAUUAAUACCUUAUAGUAUAUGAUGGGGACAUCCCUGACAUAUUAAAGUUCCAACGGUGUAAGAUGAGCAUGCGUCCCAUUAGCUAGUUGGUGUGGUAACGGCACACCAAGGCAAUGAUGGGUAGGGGUCCUGAGAGGGAGAUCCCCCACACUGGUACUGAGACACGGACCAGACUCCUACGGGAGGCAGCAGUGAGGAAUAUUGGUCAAUGGGCGCAAGCCUGAACCAGCCAUGCCGCGUGCAGGAUGACGCAUCUAUGGUGUGUAAACUGCUUUUGUACGGGAAGAAACCCUGGCUCGUGAGCCAGAUUGACGGUACCGUAAGAAUAAGGAUCGGCUAACUCCGUGCCAGCAGCCGCGGUAAUACGGAGGAUCCAAGCGUUAUCCGGAAUCAUUGGGUUUAAAGGGUCCGUAGGCGGUUUUAUAAGUCAGUGGUGAAAUCCGGCAGCUCAACUGUCGAACUGCCAUUGAUACUGUAGGACUUGAAUUAUUGUGAAGUAACUAGAAUAUGUAGUGUAGCGGUGAAAUGCUUAGAUAUUACAUGGAAUACCCAUUGCGAAGGCAGGUUACUAACAAUAUAUUGACGCUGAUGGA